CAUAAGCACUAGAGAUUAGGGAUAUUAUUAGGCCUACAAUUAAGUUCAACUAACUUAAGCACAAGCCUAAGAAGUCGUACUUGAAGGAAUUGAUAAAAACUCGUCCGUGGUUCUGACACAAACAAAAAAAAUCAAGUAUUUUGUUUAGGAUUAACCUCUUAAGUGCCAAUUUAGUGGUAUUAUUGGCAAGACCCCUAGAGUUUCAAAAUAUGAAAAUCAUUGCAAAUGUGUGAACUGACUAACCUUUCAUUUAGUUAUAUAUCUAAUCCCUUACUUCGGUUUUUCUUUAUAUUCUUAGCUCUAACCAUGGUGAAGCUAGAAGUACUUUGAGAAUGCAAAUUAGGACUUUCCAAAAGCUCUCUGUCACCAUAAUCAUUAUUGGCCAUAUCAUCCCAAAAGGCUUGAAGGAACUUUUUAUUGUUGAGAUAUUUGUCCACGGGGGAAUUCUCUAUAGAAUCCACUUAUUGCUCUAUUAGUUAAGUAACAUCCACAAACUCUUUAUCAAGAGAACUGCCAUUAGAUUCCUCAUUCUCUUCCACCACCACUCUAUGGGAGCAUUAAAUUUGUUUUUCAUUUUAGGAUUUUUAACUACUCCAUUAGAUGUAGGUUCAUAAUGCACAUUAUGGAAUGGAUGAUUUCCAUGAGUAGUGCUUGCAUUAGGAUCAUCUAAGUUUACACCAUGAGUUGAUUGUUGUGUUUUACAAAUGCUUUGUUCAAUGCCUACAUUAUUAACCUAUACCAGUUAUUUCCUUUCCUUUAGAUACAUGUUUCUUGGUUAUGUUACCAUCUGAGAUCUGAACAUAAACUUUAGAGUUUCCUUCCUUGGUGUCCAAAAAGUUAGGUUUAAUUCUUACCUUUUUGCAGACUUCUAUGGAAUGGAUAACCAUAUUACAAAGGGAGCACAAGUGAGAUAAGUUCUCAUAUUAUAUGUCUAGAAAUAAGUAAAAAAAACUGCCUCUGAACCAGAACAUUGUAAGACAAGAGUGAAGAGAGAUCCAUAUCCCCUAUUACCCUAAAAAAUGACCAAAUGGAUGAUCAAACCUUGUAUUGGAUGCAAUGGAAUUAUUAGACAUGGGAGUACCCACACUUAUCUUGAUUCUAAAUAUGAUAUUAGGCAUCUCAUACUCUUACGCAAUAUCAAAUAACCUAAUCCAAACUUAUGUUGUAGUAACCCGUUGCAAGUCUAAGGUUGAAAUCCUUUUUCCAUGGCAAGAGUUUUAGAUUUCCAUCCAGCUUCCAUGCCAAAAUAAUUUUAGCUCUCUUUACUUACUCAAUAGGAGAAAAUGAAAACUCAAAAUCCUUUUCCAAGAGAAGUGAUACCCCAAUGACUUAGAUUUUCCGCAAUGGAGAUAGCUUGAUCUUUAAGGAAAUCAAACUCAAAGUGACAUGACCGUGAAGGUUAUGUUAACAUGCUCCGAGUCCAGCUAGAUAUUCCUCUUCUAGGAUUGAAAUGGUGGUUGUGUCACCCAUGAAGCAAGGUCGAGGAAGUUGAGAUGUUGUAAUAAGAAAGACAUUCUAGUUGACAUUAAGCUUGUGCGAAUGUUUUGAUAGCUUUGGUGUUAUUUGUAGUCUCUGAUGGGAUCUUAGAAGCACUAUAAAGGCACAACCAAGGAAUUUUGAACAUUAUCAUGGAAGGUUAUUGUCACGCGUGGCAGGUGAUUAACCUAGAAAGGAAAGGUUAGUGAUGUGG
rnacentral:lncRNA from 1 species